UUUUUCAAGAUUAUCGUGACUACCACGCUGUCUAUCUUCCGUUGUGUCGACGAGCAAAACACGCGUGAAUUUCACCAUUUUAACGAGAUGAAAGUUCACAAGUCAACAUUUGACCUCUCCUCGUCAUUCCUGAUACCAACUUUACAUCAAGAGAUGACGACUGCUGUAGAUGACCAUAUAGUCUCCCCCAUACAUGUGUACUGUAUUCCAUCAUGGAGCACUGAUCCUGUUUGGCAUCAACAAUCAAAUCCACUGUUUCUCGUCAGCAGCAUACAUGCUUACCCUGAUGAAGGAUGCCAGUCCAAAGAUUUGGUCACAACAUUUCCGGUGCUGUUCACAGUUUAGCAUCCAGCCUUGCUUCACAUUUCGCACCAUCAACUUGAUUUCUCUUUGGAAUUGUGAAGGGAUCUCUUUGUGUCCUCGUCAGUUUGGUGCUGUUCACAUUUCAGCAUCUAGCCUCACUCUACAUCUCAAACCAUCAACUCGAUAUCACUUGGGGAUUGUGAAGUUACCUUGUGUCCUCGUUAGUUUGCCUUCUGGAUGGACUCAUUUAUGAAGGAACAGUAUCAAGCAAAAGGACCAAAAAGAGGUUGGAAAAAAACAUCAGAGGCAUUGGGAAGAGUUCAACUUCUUUCAAGACACAAAAAUGGAUGAAAAUCGGGAAUGAAAACAUUGCCAGUUUCUCUUUUCUACUUGAAUUAAAAGUGCUGCUUGUCACCAUCAAUGUUUAACUUGUUCCUAGCCUAACCUAACUCCCCUCCCACUAAAAAUGUGCUAAAAAUUAAAAAUUUAACUCCCGCCCCCCCGUCCGCUAAAAAUUUAAC